GGGCAUUGUUUAUUUCAUCACGUGUUUGGACUGGGGUGUCCUUUCGCGCACAUUACGCCAAAAGUGUUCCAUACAUACUCGAUAUUGUUCAAAUCCGGGCUACGAUCGGGCCAAGGAAGAUAAACCGAAUUCCAUUGGAACAACGGAUCUUCCUCCACGAUGCUAAUUUCCAACUAUGGCGAGCUCUGCACUACAUUGAAUAAGGGCAACUGUGUGUCUGUUCGUAAGCAAAGGUCCCCGAAAUGGUCUUAUCGCACGAUAACCAGUAGCGAUGAGUCAAUCUCGAACAAUUUUGGUUAAAAGGCUCCUGUAUGCCCACCACUCUCAUUUUAGGAUUGUAUUGUAUGCAAUGGGUUUCUUUCUGACCAAGCUUCAUUAUGCUUGAUUUUCCCUAGCAGAUGGCAUAGGGGGUCUUUUUGAUCUCUGAUAGUCUUUAACAUCGUUUAUUGCCUGAUUUUAUUCUCAAAACGACUAAUAGUGAAAUGGUGAUGACCAACAAUACGUGCGGUUGUCACAGCGACAUUCCUGCUUCUCUCAUGCUGAUAAUCUGCCAUCUUGCUGCGGUUAAGAGUUGUGGAGGACCCAUUACAAGGUGUCAAUCACAUAACUUUAUAAACUUGGUUAUUUAAAGUGUUGAAAACAAUGAGGAUAAAAACACCUGUUUUGCUGUUUACGAGUACAGUAGCUGCAUGUGGAGAUAAGAACUCAUCGAGUCAAUAAUUAUUGAUCAAACUCAGGUGAUAUUUUAAAAAUGUUUAACUAGUUCUAUUUUAAC
rnacentral:lncRNA from 1 species